UACGGGGGGGGUAAGCGUUGUUCGGAAUUACUGGGCGUAAAGGGCUCGUAGGCGGCCAACUAAGUCAUACGUGAAAUCCCUCAGCUUAACUGGGGAACUGCGUGUGAUACUGGAUGGCUUGGAUUUGGGAGAGGGAUGCGGAAUUCCAGGUGUAGCGGUGAAAUGCGUAGAUAUCAGGAAGAACACCAAUGGCGAAGGCAGCUCUCUGGGACGGUACUGACGCUGAGACGCGAAAGCGUGGGGAGCGAACAGG
rnacentral:rRNA from 1 species